GUGCUCUCUUCGGCAGCACUGACAGUGACACCGGGACGAUGCCGAGAAGGUUAGCAUGGCCCCUGAGCAAGGGUGACACGCAGAUCUGUGAGUGUUACAUGUUUAA